UCAACCCAAAUAAUACAUUAAAAGAGCAACUAUUAAAUAAAUAGUCCAAACCCGGUCCAAAGACCUGAUUUGGGUCUAUAAAAGGUACCCUAAAGUUAUAGUUUCCUAAUUAUUCCUGUACUCCUUUAUCCAUCGAUAUUUUCUGCCGCUGAGGAUGUUUGUCUUGGUCCUUUAUAAUCGUCAUCUCUGUUUGCUCUUGCUGUGGGUGGUGAAUUACCUUCAUCAGCUUAUGUGUAGCUUCUUCCUGCUCAGCUUGUAGAACCAAAGAGAAAGUGGAGAAACAUAAGUUGCUCCCAAUUUCCAUCUUUCAACUCCUAGCAAAGUACAAGCACUAUAUUGCAGAUCAUGUUCCUUGACUCUCGCUUAUUUACUGGUGAUCUUCUUUAUUGGCUGAUAUAGCUUAGGCUAGUUAGCUUUCUCAUAGUUAUUUUGCCUAUGUGGCCACAAACCUUUUUGUAAAUGUAAUAAAUGUGAGACGAUGUGGUCCUUUUGUUGAUUAUGUAUGUCUGAUAUUCUCAUUGUUCUAACUCUUAUGGAUGGUAUUUGUAUCUUGUCUAUGUUUAAAAUCUUUCUUCCCAUGACAACUAAUCGAAAUUAUGAAAUUGAAUCA